GGACAGGUGGCGGAAUUGGUAGACGCUAAUACAUGUGGUAAGUAUGCCGAACAAGGCGAGCAGCAUUAAUGAGUGUGUAAAAGACGCUUACCGUAAGCACUCAUUGCAGGUUCGAAUCCUGCCCUGUCCA
rfam:Alistipes indistinctus YIT 12060 genomic scaffold supercont1.2, whole genome shotgun sequence.